AAAAACCUCUGUAUUCAGUAAUAUUCACACCAAAGUAUAUGUAUAGAUAUAUCCAUUAAAAUUAUGAACAUUUCUAAAUAUAUUUUAUGUAUCAUACAUAUAUUUAUAUGUAUAAUUACAUAUCCACAGAAGUAGUCUUGCUGUGCUAAAGCCAGCAGUAAAAGCAAAAACAGGCUUCACAAUAGGACACCCAUAUAUGCAUAUGUACUGGCUGUUUGGUUUGUGAAUUUAUUUACAACGUAACUAUAUCAUAAUAAAUGCUUACUGUUCUAUUGUACAAACGUAAUAGUAAAGGUUUAGGUUUGUUUUUUAAAUACAAAGACUGCAAAUGAAUACAUGAAAAAAAUUACACACCAUGUACAGUAUUUAUAAUUUAUAAAUGCAAAGUUAAGACCUCUUUAAAUUAUUGCACUUGCAUAUUUUUUUGUUUUUUUACAAAGAUAGUUUAUAUGUAUCAUAUAUAUAUAUACGUGUGUGUAAAUAUAUAUAUAUAUAAAACAAAUUUUUCAGCUCACUAAAUGUAGUAAAGUUGAAUGUUGUUACCUUGAAGUUCUUUCUUCUUCACAUAACAGCCCAACCUGAAUUUUGAAUAUAUAUAUGAAACUACUCUACAAAUCAGUUUGAUCUACCCUAGAAAGCAGUCCAUUAUUUUAGGGUUUUUGACAGAGUAUACACCCGUAUUACAAUCGAGCACAGUUUUUGGUCAGAAAGCAAAACAAGAGUUAUGAUGUGCCUUUGCUAGAUUGGGAUACAUAACCUAAAGUUUGAACAUGAGCUUUCUUGUGGUAGUGUGCAGAAAGCCUUUUCUGUGUUUAGAAUGAAUAAAUUAAUUGAAUUAAUUCUUCCACUUCACAGAACUGUUCCUAUAUCACAGUGUUUGAGGCAAAUGCAUUAUUUCAAGAGGGUCAUAAUUGUUUUUAGCAUCUAACAAUCUAGUUUUUAACAUGAAUAGUGCUAUUUGCUAUCCCUACAAUUUUAACAUAAAUGCAGUCACAGCAAACUGAUCACACUGUUCUAAGUUUAAACACAUGAAAAAAGUCUGUGCCACAUAAAAAGAUGAAUUCCACACUGCAUGUCCUCUCCAGUGGAAAUAUUUUUUUAUCACAUACUCCAACUAAAGAAAACCUACUGCAUUUGUCUAAUGGGCACUUACUAAAAAAACAAAAAAAAAUACUAAAAAUACUGCCAUGAGUUGAACCAUUACAGCAGAAUGUUGCACUACCGUCCAAAAUUAAUAAAUUAAUUAUAACAAUGGACUUUCUGUCAAUGCUGUAAUACAAUAUGCAACAUCCGAGUAUCAUGCUAUGUCACCUGUUUUUCUCACAUACCUUUCAGGCAUCACUUCAUAAUACCCUAGAAAUGCUCAGAUAUGGCUUAAAACAGUUCUUUUACUGGUCUUAAAAGGGAAAAGCAAUUGAAAUUAAAAACAGAAAUAAAGCAGUUCUGGCAGUAUAAAGUGUAACACCUCUAGGAGUUAUGUAUGUAACUGUAUAAAACCAGCAUGUAAAUGUAUGUAUAAAAAUGUAUAAUAUGUACAAAAACAAGUUUUUAUACAUUUUAUACAUUUAGGUUUUUAUACAUUUUUAUUGAUCUUGGGCAAGAUCAAUUUUAGCAGGAUAAAAAUGCAAGGAAGAACAGCUUUUGGCAGUUUAACUUAAUAAGCCAGAUGCCUUACAGAUCUAGAUGUCUUACUCUAUUUGUGAGUUCAAGCCCAGAAUUUUGAACAAUUAAAUCUCAACAUGUAAUGUUGAGCAAUGAUUUGAGCCAUGAAAUCCAAAUGCAGCUUCAAAAUUUUACUAUUUGGGGGGUUUGACUUUGGAAGUGCAGGUGUAAGUUUGUUUCUACAAAAAACCCAUACACAUCUGAAUCUGCACUCUGUGAAUGCUAAACCAGACUAACUUGGUUGAGAAAAUCCAGUCUUGGGGGUUAUUUUUCUUGGUCUAGGUGCUAACAAAGAGUAACCAGGAAAACAAACUAAACCACAACCUCUGGAGUCACAAUUUUUCAUUCUAAUGGACAUUAUACUCUAGCAAACAUAUGCUUUACGUGGUUUGGAUAGUUCUACAUUAGAAACAGUAUCUGAUUGACUUUAAACAUUAAUAGAACAACUUAUUGUCAAUUUGACAAAUUUGCCAGGGAAACAUAAAAUGUUUUGUGAUACUGCCAAAGAUUUUGAAUGGUAACAGAGCUAGUGAAGUUAUCUUUACUGUCAAUGAGUAAAAGAUGAAUUAAAAGCUUUCCAUACACACAGACACAGAGUG
ensembl:lncRNA